rnacentral:rRNA from 1 species
CCUACGGGAGGCAGCAGUGGGGAAUAUUGCACAAUGGGGGAAACCCUGAUGCAGCGACGCCGCGUGAGCGAUGAAGUAUUUCGGUAUGUAAAGCUCUAUCAGCAGGGAAGAAAAUGACGGUACCUGACUAAGAAGCCCCGGCUAACUACGUGCCAGCAGCCGCGGUAAUACGGAGGGUGCGAGCGUUAAUCGGAAUUACUGGGCGUAAGGCGCUCGUAGGCGGUAUGUCAAGUCAAGGGUGAAAUCCCCGCGCUCAACGUGGGAACUGCCUUUGAAACUGGCAGACUUGAGUGUGUGAGAGGAUAGUGGAAUUCCAUGUGUAGCGGUGAAAUGCGUAGAUAUAUGGAGGAACACCAGUGGCGAAGGCGACGAGCUGGCCUGCAACUGACGCUCAGUCCCGAAAGCGUGGGGAGCAAAUAGGAUUAGAUACCCCUGUAGUC